rnacentral:rRNA from 1 species
UACGUAGGGUGCGAGCGUUGUCCGGAAUUAUUGGGCGUAAAGGGCUCGUAGGCGGCCUGUCGCGUCGGGAGUGAAAACUCAGGGCUUAACCCUGAGCCUGCUUCCGAUACGGGCAGACUAGAGGUAUGCAGGGGAGAACGGAAUUCCUGGUGUAGCGGUGAAAUGCGCAGAUAUCAGGAGGAACACCGGUGGCGAAGGCGCCACUCUGGGCCGGUACUGACGCUGAGGAGCGAAAGCGUGGGUAGCAAACAGG